CUUUUAAAGGAUACUAGCUANUC
rnacentral:tRNA from 1 species